UACGUAGGGACCAAGCGUUGUUCGGAUUUACUGGGCGUAAAGGGCGCGUAGGCGGCAUGACAAGUCACUUGUGAAAUCUCUGGGCUUAACCCAGAACGGCCAAGUGAUACUGUCACGCUAGAGUGCAGAAAGGGCAAUCGGAAUUCUUGGUGUAGCGGUGAAAUGCGUAGAUAUCAAGAGGAACACCUGAGGCGAAGGCGGGUUGCUAGGCUGACACUGACGCUGAGACGCGAAAGCGUGGGGAGCAAACAGG
rnacentral:rRNA from 1 species